rnacentral:rRNA from 1 species
AGUGAACGCUGGCGGUAGGCCUAACACAUGCAAGUCGAACGGCAGCACAGUAAGAGCUUGCUCUUACGGGUGGCGAGUGGCGGACGGGUGAGGAAUACAUCGGAAUCUACUUUUUCGUGGGGGAUAACGUAGGGAAACUUACGCUAAUACCGCAUACGACCUACGGGUGAAAGCAGGGGAUCUUCGGACCUUGCGCGAUUGAAUGAGCCGAUGUCGGAUUAGCUAGUUGGCGGGGUAAAGGCCCACCAAGGCGACGAUCCGUAGCUGGUCUGAGGGGAUGAUCAGCCACACUGGAACUAAGACACGGUCCAGACUCCUACGGGAGGCAGCAGUGGGGAAUAUUGGACAAUGGGCGCAAGCCUGAUCCAGCCAUACCGCGUGGGUGAAGAAGGCCUUCGGGUUGUAAAGCCCUUUUGUUGGGAAAGAAAAGCAGCAGGUUAAUACCCCGCUGUUCUGACGGUACCCAAAGAAUAAGCACCGGCUAACUUCGUG